rnacentral:ncRNA from 2 species
CGUGUUGCUUUGAUGAUUCAUGAUAACUCGUCGGAUCGCACGGCCCUUUAUGAAAAGCCAGUGGCGCGAAGCUACCGUGCGUUGGUUUAUGACUGAACGCCUCUAAGUCAGAAUCCGGGCUAGAAGCGAUGCGUGUGCUUGUCGUUUGUUUGUCGACCAGCAGUAGGGGGCUUUGGCCCCAAGAGGCACAUGUCGUUGGUGAACCUUGUAAGGUGAAUAAGCCUUAUGAGACGCCUUGAAGCGUAAUUCCCAUCAAACGACGGGUAGAAUCCUUUGCAGACGACUUAAAUACGCGACGGGGUAUUGUAAGUGGCAGAGUGGCCUUGCUGCCACGAUCCACUGAGAUUCAGCCCUUGUCGCUUUGAUUC